GGGAGUAUAGCUCAGUGGUAGAGCAUGUGCUUGGCAAGAACAAGGUCCUGGGUUCAAUCCCUGGUGCCUCGA
rnacentral:tRNA from 1 species